UCUCAAACUCUUGGGCUGCAGAGAUCCUGCUACCUCGGCUUUCCAAAGUGCUGGGAUUAUGGGAUUACAGUCUUGAGCCACCAUGUCUGGCCCUUAAACAGGUUUUUAAAAAAUACUAAGGUUUCAAUAGUUCUUACCAUGAAGAAAGCCACUUUUCUUAUGUAUCUUACAUUUUCAGAAUACCAGAAGAGUUGAACUGUGUAACUUCAACAUAGCUGACCAUUAGAAACAGCUAUAACUUACAAUACUUAUCACAGUCCUCAUUAGAAAUGCCUAAUGAGCUGGGCACAGUGGCUCAUGCCAGUAAUCUCAUCACUUUGGGAGGCCAGGGCGGGUGGUUCACCUGAGGUCAGGAGUUUGAGACCAGCCUGGCCAACAUGGCAAAACCCCAUCUGUACUAAAAAUGCAAAAAUUAGCUAAGGAUGGUGGUGCACCUGUAGUCCCAGCUACUUGGGGACUCGUGCUAAGGCAUGAGAAUCGCCUAAACCUGGGAGGUGGAGGUUGCAGUGAGCUAAGAUUGCGUCACUGUACUCCAGUCUGGGCAACAGAGUGAGACUAUACCUCAAAAAACAAAACAAAACAAAAAACAAAAACAAACAAAAAACAACAAGCUUCCACCCUGGCCAACAUGGUGAAACCCUGUCUCUGCUAAAAAUACAAAAAUUAGCUGGGUGUGGCAGCACGUGCCUGUAAUCCCAGCUACUUGGGAGGCUGAGGCGGGAGACUCAGUUGAACCAGGGAGUCGGAGGUUGCAGUAAGACAGAGCGAGACUCCGUCUCAAAAAAAAAAAAAAAAAAAAUGCUUAAUGAAACAAUUGAAUUUUAUAAGAACAUGCUGUUUCCACACAGCUGAAGCUUGUCAGCACUAAGUAACCAGGCUGGUCUUGCCCAGCACCAGAUGUAUUUCCUUAUUAUCCUCACUCUUGUGGACUCAGUCUCAUCUUUUGGGGAUCCCAAGUCACUUGUGCAGUGUUCACGGCCUAUUCCUGCCUAACACAAGAAAGGGUCAGUGGUACAACAUCCACUUAUUGGCAUACAAUAUUCACUAAUCCAGCUAAGGAAGGCCAUUAAGGUGACAAUGGUCCGAGCCUCAGUUAAGCCAAGUGACCACAAAGCCCACAGCUCUGCACCUUUAUGUGGGCACUUCAAGGCUCUCAUGUUGGUCCAGAGAACAAAAAAUGCAACAGUUAAAGCUACCUUGAGCCAGAGAAGAAAACAGGCAGCUCUACCCUUCUAAGUCCAGUAAGACUGAAGGAUCAAAGGCCUUUUACUCUCACCAACAUGCUAAGUAAAUUCAAACAACAGGACUGAAGAGGACCUAGAGAAAGGUCCUACCUGCUCCUCUUCACCCACAGAACACGUUUCAAACAUUUCAAACCACGAGUUUUUAUUUACAAAGAUUUGACGUUACUAUUAUAUGAGCUUCUGAAAUUAUCUGAGAGCUCUCUGUCUUUCAUGUAACAGUGAGCAAACUGAAAACUAACUGAUUAGGCCCUAAAGUGCAGAUGUGAUAUUUCAUCUCUACAGCUUCUUUUUUUUUUUUUUUUUUUUUUUUUGUGAUGGAGUUUCGCUCUGUUGCCGAGGCUGGAGUGCAGUGGCACAAUCUCGGCUGGGUGACAGUGAGACUCUGUUUCAAAAAAAAACAAACACACACACACACACACACACACACACACACACACACACACACACACACAAAUACUUCACUGUUAAUACAAAUAAUCUAGUCAAGUAAACCAUACUCCAUUUUGGAUAAAAACAGAGAAGAACUCCUCCAUGUGGUUGUUGAAGGGUCUUUAAAGGAAUCAAAUAUUCUCACAUUUUUCUCUUUAAAAGCACUUUUAACAAAUCUUCAAAUCAAUAAAAUAUACAAUGGCUUAACUGGGCAAGAUCUAAUGCCCGAAGAUCUCGUGAGGCACUCAACUAGGGCUUCCCAGACAGUGAGAAGCACAGAGCCUGGAAGGGCUCACAGGUAAGCUAAGCUACGGUUGGAAGGUGGAGGCAGGAAGUUCAGACAGCUGGCUCCACGAACCUCCACCCCAUUACCUCGUGCACUGUAAACUUUUCUGCUGUUUUUUACCUGUGCCAUGAGGAGAAAAUAGUUCAGAAGCCCUAGAUUAUUCACGCUCUAAAGGAAUGACUUAAUUGUGGCUGCCCAACAAUAGGAAAUUCACAUUUUUAAAUAACUUAGCAUUUUAUUUUAUUUAUUUAAUUGUUUUUGAGAUAGAGUCUUGGCUCUGUUGCCCAGGCUGCGGGGCAGUGGCACAAUCAUGGCUCACUGCAGCCUCGACCUGCUGGGCUCAAUCAAUUUGUCUGCCUCCGAGUAGCCAGGACUACAGGCAUGUACCACCAUGACUGGCUAAAUUUUUUUAGAGACAGGGUUUCGCCAUGUUGCCCAGGCUGGUGUCAAACUUUUGGUCUCAACCAAUUGGCCCACUUCAGCUUCCCAAAGUGCUGGGGUUACAAGCAUUGAGCCACUGCGCCUGGCCAACUUAGCAUUUUAGAAAGCAAUUUGGAAAGCAGAGCAAAUAUACAUAACAUGAGUGAAAAGGCAGUAUUAAAAAGAGGAAGGACCAUGUAAGUUGGAUAGUAAAACGUGCAUUUUUUCUUGGGUAUACACAUACUGCAGUGUUAACAAUUUCUCUCCAGAUGGUGAGUAUUUCACAGCAGGGGACAUCAGCCCACUUGGGGCUUCCCUUUGGAAUCAGAUGGGAGUGGGUACAAGAAGAUCACAGAGCAUCUUCACUGCUGCUGCUGCUUCUCUCUCAACUUUUCCCUCCUACCUCAUUUAUUGGUUUCACAGUCCUGAGAAGACCCCAUAGUCCUACAUAAGCAUAAGAAAAGCCCCAUAUAUAAAACAAGAAAGAGAAGACUAAAGUACAAAAAAGCGCCACCUUCUGGUGGCUAUAGGGGAUGCUUUCCCUUUCACUCAGAUGAUCCCUGCAGCCAAACAGCUGCCACAGACACAAAACCACUGGGAACC
rnacentral:lncRNA from 10 species